UCAGAAAUGGACCAUCUUUGCCUGAUGGCUGUCGGGAGCCGCCUGUAGACCCUUCCACUGAAAGGCAGGAUGAGGAUCCUCCUUGAACUUGGAAGGCUAGUGGUCCAAGGAACGGCAGGCUGAGCCCAUUUUGCUUCUCCCACAGGAAGGGGUGGGCUGAGAGCCGAGCUGCAGGCUUUCCUGUGUAGCAUAAAUUGGCCCAGUGUGCACAAAACAUUCUUAUCUGAUGAAGAGCUGGAAGUGUGACCACGGGCUGAGAGGCUGGAAACAGCACCGCGUCUCUGCUCCUCUCUUCCCUCACAUUGCUUUUCUGCUCUCCUUUCUUUUUCUCUGGCAGUCACGCAGGGCUCUGAGUUCUUUUCUAGCUUCUCAAAUGGUUUUGAUCCAGAGGCAUGAAUUUAAACAAGAACAGAGAUGGCCCUAGUUUUUGCUCGUCUCUUUUCAGAUUAAUGUGUGUAAUUGUUAAUCUCCCUGUAUGCUGUAUCAGGGACAGAUGAUGGAUGGAUGAUGGAUGGAUGAAUAGAUAGAGAUAGGUAGAUAGGGACGGAGAUAUAGGCAGGUAUAUAAAAUAAAGCUGGGGAGUGUUCCUUUGUAAGAGCUGUCCUGGAAAAAGAGGUACUAGUAUGAAACAGGCAAACUACACGUGGCUAAAAACGAUUCAUUUUUUUAAGAGAAGUAAACUAACAUUUAUUUUUCGAGAGGUAAAUCAGAUGUUUUGGGUUUCAGUCCUGGCUCAGCAAUCUAGCGAGCUGUGUGGCCUUGGGAAACUUACUUGAAGUUUCUGGUGUUAAUUUUCUCAUCUCUAAGCUUGACAAGGGUCUCCUCCCAGGAGACUUUGUGGUUACCUUUGUUAGAUAUGUUGGUACCACAUUCACAAGGGGAGCCGAAAGGAGCCUUACCUGCACAGGAAAGUGAAGACCAAAACAAAAAACAAACAAGCAAACCCAAGUCCUUGUAUUUACUUCCCUAAUGAAAUAAAAAUGACUGAGAGAGAAAGCUUAUUCCAGUCGUACAGCACCAUUUUAUUAACGGCUUACAGGUGGCAGGAACACAGACUACAGACCUACGUAUAAUACAGGCACCCGGAAAGCACACAAUAAACCUUUGCUCCAGCUGCAGACAGGGUGGCAUAACCUAGUGACAAGGGCACAGAGGGUGUAAAACCUAGACUCCAUCUCAGCCCCGCUCCUUACAGGUUUAUGAUCUGGAACCAGCCACUUAACCUUUCCAAGCCUCUGUUUCCUCAACUGCAAAAAAGCACAAAUAUCUAUGCUUCAAAUCUUUGGGGACAAAUGACAUAAUGUGUAAGAAAUGAUUCACAGUGUGAAGAGUACUUGCAGACACACUGGUACACAACCACAGUUCAGUGACACAGGCCUUCGACUAUAAAUUAAGGAGGUUGAUGUUGAUGACCUAGAUAGCGUUUCCAGCUUGGAGCAUCCUUGACUCCAUGACCUGGCUGAGCUUCCACCCCCCAGGCUGCAAAGGUGCCCAGCUCUGGGCAACCUGGAGCCACACCUGCUGCAUCUGGAAGUUUGGAGAGAGAGGCUAGGAGGCUCGCCCUUGGCCUUGCAGUACAUAAUGUGGCUCUUCUUCAAAGACACUGAAGGGCACGUCUGCUCAUCCUGUUAAUCUUUAACUGCCACCAAGACAUUCCACCCCAGGGCUCAUGGGCUGUUAGCUUCGAAAACACCCUCGUUCUGAAAUACAAGUCACUGGCCCUUAGAUCCGUGUUUAGACACACAACCUAAAGGAGAAGAAGAAAAGCAUGUUGUAGUGAGUAGGAAAAGAAGUCAAGUUCUGUGCUUUGUUUUUCACUCCAGUUGAAUGGCUCUUGCUUUGAUUUUAUGGUCUGUUGAAAAUAGGCAAAUAGCUAGUAAGAGUCACCUACAUUUGCAAGGGAGAACUGUCUGCUUAGAGUCCCCUGAAGAUCUAAAUUCCGUAAUGAGAAAGUGGCCCUAUCAUCAUAAAGUGCAGGGUGAGCGUCUUUACCAGAAGGACGUGGGCUCACAACUCUGCCAUCCCUGGAAAACCUGCCCAUUCUGACGCCGAGACUGUCUUCGCCCUCUAGCCUGGCAGACCCCUUCAAGAGGGCUCCGGGCGUGUCCCCACAGCAGCCUGGUAAAUAGAAAGUGUGAGGGAGGGCAAACUCCGGCUUUAGAAAUAAAGAGUAAAAGGAGUUGGUCAAGGAACGAAAGCCCCAGUGGAUGAUGAAAGCAUGCUUUGAAGUUUGUGAUCCUCAUUUUUCGGCUGGGGACCAGUUUUUACUCACUGUUCUCAAAGGCUCAGCCCCCAACAUGACUGUGGCGAGGAUUAUUCAUCCGCCAUGAGUCUGUGUAUCAGCAGGACAGUAAGGGGCGUCUCUGCUAUUUUUAGACACAGGCCUGUACAAGCCAAAGGCCACAUUCCACUUCUAUUCUGCUGAAUGCAGGCUACACCCUGGCACGGGGGCCCUUCGGCAACAGCAUUCUAUUCUGCUUUCGGAACUCUACACAGGCCUCCUUUGACCAGGGAGGGUGCCGUGGGCUGGGGAAAGGAAAAGGGAGAAGAAAGGGAAGAUCCAGAGCUGAACUUGCACAAAAGUGAAUGCUGACAACAGAGUUGACGAAGGGUCAGAAUUCAGAAGUGCAGACAGGCAGUGCAAGACGGAGGGCUCGUGGCUGGGCAAGAAAACCAUUCUCUAAAACCCAAGACGGUGGGACUGAUUUUGACAAACCCCAGAGGGCAGAGUUGAUCUUUGGGGAUUUGCCAGGCUUUUGUCUAAGGGCUUAAUAAAUAUUUGGUCUCAUGGGCUCUCAUCAGCCAGAGUGGUCUUUCUCCUCCUAAUCCGUGCUCUUGACCAGGGCUACCUGGUCCCCAGGUGUCCAGCACCUGCUAACUUGCCUCUACCCUAGAGGUUUACUUAAAAACCCCAAUACCCUCAACCUGGAAAGGCAGGACAGGGAGGAGGCCACCAGUUCCCUUGAGUCAGGGUACUCGUCCUGGAGCCAAUUCUAGACCGGCUCCUUGAAAAGGUCUUGAAUAGGUCACAACAGUGACCUACUUGUAGCCUCUGCCUUCAGAGAUGAGAGCCUGAGAAGCCGCCCACACGCGCUGGCAUAGGAUUUGCCAGUCUGUCAUUUUGGCUGUGACUUAGGACAGCUUGCGGCAAACUUAACAAGCAGAUUUUCUCUGUGAUAGGAAAAUUCUUGCUUAAUGCCACUCUAUUUCCCGUGGUUAAAGCUUUCAAACCUAGAGAUGAUAACAGAAGUCACCUGACCUGGUGUGAAGCGUAAAUGAAGAGUUGGGGUUUUUUUAUUAGUAUGAUUUUAACUCCAAUUUUCAGAAGAGAGGUAGGCUUUUUCUUUAAUAAACCAGGUUCGUGUAAGACACCUUGGGCUGGAAUUACCAAACGGACCUGACAUACCACCAUCACAUCACUUUUGAAAGCAGCCGUAUCACACAGAGCAUUUAAGUGCUUUAAUUGCUUGAUUAACAUUAUGGCCUUGUCUUGGCAUCGUCCCUCUCUGCAUGUGUUCCCAUUGUGGCUCAGUGGUUAACAAAUCUGACUAGGAACCAUGAGGUUGCGGGUUUGAUCCCUGGUUGCUCAGUGGGUUAAGGAUUCAGCGGGUCCGUGAGCUGUGGUGUAGGUUGCGGACGCGGCUUGGAUCCCGCGUUGCUGUGGCUCUGGUGUAGGCUGGCGGCUAUGGCUCUGAUUAGACCCUUAGCCUGGGAACCUCAAUAUACCGCAGAAGUGGCCCUGGAAAUG
rnacentral:lncRNA from 1 species